rnacentral:rRNA from 1 species
AACGAACGCUGGCGGCAGUCUUAACACAUGCAAGUCGAACGCACCUUUCGGGGUGAGUGGCAGACGGGUGAGUAACACGUGGGAACGUACCCUUUUGUUCGGAAUAACCCUGGGAAACUAGGGCUAAUACCGGAUACGCCCUAACGGGGAAAGGUUUACUGCAGGAGGAUCGGCCCGCGUCCGAUUAGCUAGUUGGUUGGGGUAAUGGCUCACCAAGCCGACGAUCUGUAGCUGGUCUGAGAGGACGAUCAGCCACACUGGGACUGAGACACGGCCCAGACUCCUACGGGAGGCAGCAGUGGGGAAUUUUGGACAAUGGGCGAAAGCCUGAUCCAGCAAUGCCGCGUGCAGGAUGAAGGCCUUCGGGUUGUAAACUGCUUUUGUACGGAACGAAAAGCCCCGGGUUAAUACCCUGGGGUCAUGACGGUACCGUAAGAAUAAGCACCGGCUAACUACGUGCCAGCCGCCGCGGUAAUAC